AUAACGGUCCUAAGGUAGCGAAAUUCCUUGUCGGGUAAGUUCCGACCUGCACGAAAGGCGCAACGACUUGGGCGCUGUCUCGACCAUGGACCCGGUGAAAUUGCACUGGUCGUGAAGAUGCGACUUACCCGCGGAAGGACGGAAAGACCCCGUGAACCUUCACUGCAGCUUGGCAUUGGCCGCUGGUCCCGCGUGUAGAGGAUAGGCAGGAGGCUAAGAUCCGGAGGCGCCAGCCCCCGGGGAGCCGCCCUUGGAAUACUGCCCUCGCGCGACCGGCGUCCUAACCCGAGGCCGUCAACCGGCUCGGGGACCGUGCCAGGCGGGCAGUUUGACUGGGGCGGUCGCCUCCUAAAGGGUAACGGAGGCGCGCGAAGGUCCGCUCGGGACGGUCGGCAACCGUCCUUUUGAAUGCAAGAGUACAAGCGGGCUUGACUGCGAGGCCCACAAGCCGAGCAGGUGCGAAAGCAGGCUCUAGUGAUCCGGCGGCCCCGAGUGGGUGGGCCGUCGCUCAACGGAUAAAAGGUACUCCGGGGAUAACAGGCUGAUCUUGCCCAAGAGUCCACAUCGACGGCAAGGUUUGGCACCUCGAUGUCGGCUCAUCGCAUCCUGGGGCUGGAGCAGGUCCCAAGGGUACGGCUGUUCGCCGUUUAAAGCGGUACGCGAGCUGGGUUCAGAACGUCGUGAGACAGUUCGGUCCCUAUCCUCCGUGGGCGCAGGAGAAUCGAUGGAGGCUGCCCCCAGUACGAGAGGACCGGGGUGGACGCACCUCCGGUGAACCGGUUGUCGACCAACGGCACGGCCGGGUAGCCGCGUGCGGCGCGGAUAACCGCUGAAGGCAUCUAAGCGGGAAGCCGUUCCAGGGAUUAGUUCUCCUUCCGGUAAGGGCCCAGGUAGACUACCUGGUCGAUAGACGGCAGGUGCAAGGACGGCGACGUCCUCAGCCGAGCCGCACUAAUCGCCCGAGCUCUUCCGGAA
rnacentral:rRNA from 1 species